UUUCACGCAGCUCUUUUUGAAUAUAAGCACAAGGUAAAACACGAAUAAUAAGUGCAUCCUAUCGAAUUAGUCGUUUGAAUGUUAGUGACAGGGCCCUGACUCCACUUCCCACAGUGCAGCGCGGCUGCGGGGGUCAUGUGAUGUGUGUGUGUGUCUCUGCGCCGCUGGCUCGUGUCUCAGUCAGACCGAUCUGUGUGAGGAUGUGCUGUGGCUCUCUGUGUGCGCUCUGCUCGGAUCAUGCGGGACACCGACCAGAGGAGCUGCUGCCCCUCACAAACGUGUGGAAUAAGAGCGCUUUCCAGGUGAAGCACUGACAGCAGAAACAGAAACAAAUGCACCGGCAACGUUACUUCUCACGCGCUGGAUUACCGUGUAACGUCUCAGUGACCGCGGAGUAACGCUGACGUUACUUCAUUACAGCUGAACCUGGACGAGGUGGAAACCAGGAUGCCAGAUGUGAUGCUUCACAGAUUUUCAAGGUCGUGUCUGAAGAGACGUGUGGAUGAGUGUGACACCGCUGAUUUCUCCACAUCAUGGAUUAUCAGAGAUAUCUGGAGAUGCUCGUUUCAUAAGUGGAUUUAAGACAUUUCCUUGUACUAUGCUUUGACUGCAGAUACUGGAUUACUCGGACUGUUUUCUACUUUACGUCAUUUGUUUUCUUCUGAUUGGUCAGUACGAUGUUCCAGUCAUGAUGCUCUAUCGAUCUAAUAAAAAUAGUUUUAUUAUAAAUAGUGCUAGUAUUUCAAUAAAAUGGCAAUGUUGUUUGUAAAGAUAUAAGGCACUGUUGUGUUGAGCACUGCUGUGCUAUAUUGUAGAUGAUUAUAUCACAAUCUAACACAACCCACUGUACCCUAUUGUUACCUUUUAAAGGGAUACUCCACUCCAAAAUGAAAAUGUUGUCAUUAAUCACUUACCCGCAUGUCGUUCCAAACCCAUAAAAGCUUUGUUCGUCUUCAGAACACAAUUUAAGAUAUUUUGGAUGAAAACAGGGAGGCUUGUGACUGUUCCACAGACUGCCAAAUAAAUAACAGUGUCAAGGUCCAGGAAAGUAUGAAAAGCAUCUUCAGAAUACUCCAUCUGUCAUCAGUGAUUCAACCGUAACAUUAUGAAGAGACUAGAAUACUUUUUGUACACGAAGAAAACAAAAAUAACAACUUUAUUCAACAACUCCUCUCCUCUAUGUCUCUCCACAUCAGCGUAGCUCCAUUUUGACAAAUCUGGGCAGUAUGCAGUUGGCGUACGCUCUUCUGUGUCAGCCGCGCCACAAGGAUACAUUUAUUACGUGUAUUUAUGCUUUGGUUUGAAAGAAAACAACGCAUCGGCGCAGCGCGGCUGACACAGAAGAGCGUACGCUGCCUGCGUUCAGCUCAGAAUUGUCAAAAUGGCACUACAGGAAUUGUUGAAUAAAGUCAUUAUUUUUGUUUUCUUCAUGUACAAAAAGUAUUCUCGUCUCUUCAUAACGUUACGGUUGAAUCACUGAUGGCAGAUGGACUAUUCUGAUGAUGCUUUUCAUUCUUUUCUGGACCUUGACACUGUUAUUUACUUGUCAGUCUAUGGGACAGUCUCAAGCCUCCCUGUUUUCAUCCAAAAUAUCUUACAUUAUGUUCUGAAGACGAAAAGAGCUUUUACAGGUUUGGAACGACAUGUAGGUAAGUGAUUAAUGACAAAAUUUUCAUUUUGGGGUGGAGUAUCCCUUUAAUAUACAAGUAUUUUUUACAAACAUUGAUGUAUAAUUGAUAUAAUGUUAUUUUGAAGAUUGUCCUGAAUUUUUGCUUGAUUGAAGCAAAAUCUAUCAUAUCAUGAUGUGAAAAACUGGUGGUGACAUGCACACAAUAUUAAAAGUUAAUAAAAACAAACUUUAUUUUUAUAUUUUUAUUUUUGUAGCAAGGUCACAGUUGGAAAUUCUCCCAGAAUGCUGUUCUCACGGCUAUCGACAUCUUUACAUGCAAACAGCAGCACAAAACCGUCUCACAAAGUAUAAACAUUGACUAAAUAGUUAGUCUUAUCUGACAUUGACUUACUGCAAUCAAUAUGUGUGUGUGUGUGUGUGUGUGGCAGACAUCCUGUUUACCCGCUGUCUGCUGCAGAUUUAUUAACCUUAAACAAGAC
ensembl:lncRNA